GCGGGCGUGGUGGAAUGGUAGACGCGCCGGACUCAAAAUCCGGUUCCGCAAGGAGUGUGGGUUCGAGUCCCACCGCCCGCA
rnacentral:tRNA from 1 species